rnacentral:lncRNA from 1 species
AGAAAUGGGUCAAUACUGAUGAACUUUCAGGAAGCGAAAAGAAACAAUUGCAAAAUAACAGUACUCUAGGCUAUUCUAUCCUGAUCAAGUAUAAAAAGAUUGAAUCCACCAAAUAGAAAUCUCGCCUUAAAAAGAAAUGACACCAGAAUGUGCAUGAAACCCAAGAGGUAACAGGUCUCACGACUAAGGAACGAUUCGACCUGAAAAUUCUGGCCCAAGA